UGUUUUCACACUUUAUGAAUAUAUAGAUUACUGUUAUUAUAAUUAAAAAUAGCUACAUGUAUUGUUUGUUAAUUAAGAUAAAGGAGGCCUUUGGGAAAUCUAAUCCAUGAUAGCUACAGAAGCCAAGUCUUUGAGUAAUGAAAUAUUUUAAAAAUAGAAGAUUACAUACAAUCUCCUUGUCCUUUAGAUAAGUAAUACUUACUGAAGAGUUAACAUAUCCAGAUACCAAUCCUGUGCAACAUUCUUCAGAUGUAUAUUUUCACUUAUUGUUUGUAUCAAGCCCGUGAGUUAGUAUUCUUUACUGCUGGUCAUCUAUAAGGUCUCCAUCUUUCUCUCCCACUUCCUAACAGAACUGCAGUUUUUUCUGGAAUUCACUUCUCUCCUUUGCAAUCUCUGUGUCAAGACAAAAGCCUCACUCUAUUGCCCAAGCUGGAAUACAGUGGCGUGAUCUUGGCUCUCUGCAACCUCUGCCUCCUGGGUUCAAGCGAUACUCCUGCCUCAGCCUCCUGAGUAGCUGGGAUGACAGUCUUGGGAAGUUGUAGAGGAGGAUGGAGCAUGAGAAGACAAAGCUGUAGGUUGAGUGAAAGCAACUCUCUGAGAUUUUCAUGGAAGGACGUUUAUUUUAUCUUGCAAGGUAAGAUCCAGUUGGAGAAUGUGGAAUAAUUGUAAAACUGGCCAGUUAUAAGAUGUGCUAAAAGAG
rnacentral:lncRNA from 13 species